rnacentral:rRNA from 1 species
GACGAACGCUGGCGGCGUGCUUAACACAUGCAAGUCGAACGGUGAGGGGACCGGUUUUUGCUGGUUCUGGAUGAGUGGCGAACGGGUGAGUAACACGUGAGUAACCUGCCCCCUUCUUCUGGAUAACCGCAUGAAAGUGUGGCUAAUACGGGAUAUUCUGCGCCUGCUGCAUGGUGGGUGUGGGAAAGAUAUUGUUUCGGUGGGGGAUGGGCUCGCGGCCUAUCAGCUUGUUGGUGGGGUGAUGGCCUACCAAGGCGGUGACGGGUAGCCGGCCUGAGAGGGUGGACGGUCACACUGGGACUGAGACACGGCCCAGACUCCUACGGGAGGCAGCAGUGGGGAAUAUUGCACAAUGGGCGCAAGCCUGAUGCAGCGACGCCGCGUGAGGGAUGGAGGCCUUCGGGUUGUAAACCUCUUUCGCCAGUGAAGCAGGCCUGUCCCUUUUGUGGGUGGGUUGACGGUAGCUGGAUAAGAAGCGCCGGCUAACUACGUG